rnacentral:rRNA from 1 species
UGGAUCCAGACUUUGAUCAUGGCUCAGGAUGAACGCUAGCGACAGGCUUAACACAUGCAAGUCGAGGGGCAGCAUGAUUUGUAGCAAUACAGAUUGAUGGCGACCGGCGCACGGGUGAGUAACGCGUAUGCAACUUACCUAUCAGAGGGGGAUAGCCCGGCGAAAGUCGGAUUAAUACCCCAUAAAACAGGGGUCCCGCAUGGGAAUAUUUGUUAAAGAUUCAUCGCUGAUAGAUAGGCAUGCGUUCCAUUAGGCAGUUGGCGGGGUAACGGCCCACCAAACCGACGAUGGAUAGGGGUUCUGAGAGGAAGGUCCCCCACAUUGGUACUGAGACACGGACCAAACUCCUACGGGAGGCAGCAGUGAGGAAUAUUGGUCAAUGGCCGAGAGGCUGAACCAGCCAAGUCGCGUGAAGGAAGAAGGAUCUAUGGUUUGUAAACUUCUUUUAUAGGGGAAUAAAGUGGAGGACGUGUCCUUUUUUGUAUGUACCCUAUGAAUAAGCAUCGGCUAACUCCGUGCCAGCAGCCGCGGUAAUACGGAGGAUGCGAGCGUUAUCCGGAUUUAUUGGGUUUAAAGGGUGCGUAGGUGGUGAUUUAAGUCAGCGGUGAAAGUUUGUGGCUCAACCAUAAAAUUGCCGUUGAAACUGGGUUACUUGAGUGUGUUUGAGGUAGGCGGAAUGCGUGGUGUAGCGGUGAAAUGCAUAGAUAUCACGCAGAACUCCGAUUGCGAAGGCAGCUUACUAAACCAUAACUGACACUGAAGCACGAAAGCGUGGGGAUCAAACAGGAUUAGAUACCCUGGUAGUCCACGCAGUAAACGAUGAUUACUAGGAGUUUGCGAUACAAUGUAAGCUCUACAGCGAAAGCGUUAAGUAAUCCACCUGGGGAGUACGCCGGCAACGGUGCAACUCAAAUGAAUUGACGGA